rnacentral:rRNA from 1 species
UACGGGGGGGGCAAGCGUUGUUCGGAAUUACUGGGCGUAAAGGGCUCGUAGGCGGCCAACUAAGUCCGACGUGAAAUCCCCAGGCUUAACCUGGGAACUGCGUCGGAUACUGGAUGGCUUGAAUUCGGGAGAGGGAUGCAGAAUUCCAGGUGUAGCGGUGAAAUGCGUAGAUAUCUGGAGGAACACCGGUGGCGAAGGCGGCAUCCUGGACCGGCAUUGACGCUGAUGAGCGAAAGCUAGGGGAGCAAACGGG